GCCUAAUAAUGCAAGUUCGAGCGAACUGAUUAGAAGCUUGCUUCUAUGACGUUAGCGGCGGACGGGUGAGUAACACGUGGGCAACCUGCCUGUAAGACUGGGAUAACUUCGGGAAACCGAAGCUAAUACCGGAUAGGAUCUUCUCCUUCAUGGGAGAUGAUUGAAAGAUGGUUUCGGCUAUCACUUACAGAUGGGCCCGCGGUGCAUUAGCUAGUUGGUGAGGUAACGGCUCACCAAGGCAACGAUGCAUAGCCGACCUGAGAGGGUGAUCGGCCACACUGGGACUGAGACACGGCCCAGACUCCUACGGGAGGCAGCAGUAGGGAAUCUUCCGCAAUGGACGAAAGUCUGACGGAGCAACGCCGCGUGAGUGAUGAAGGCUUUCGGGUCGUAAAACUCUGUUGUUAGGGAAGAACAAGUACAAGAGUAACUGCUUGUACCUUGACGGUACCUAACCAGAAAGCCACGGCUAACUACGUGCCAGCAGCCGCGGUAAUACGUAGGUGGCAAGCGUUAUCCGGAAUUAUUGGGCGUAAAGCGCGCGCAGGCGGUUUCUUAAGUCUGAUGUGAAAGCCCACGGCUCAACCGUGGAGGGUCAUUGGAAGCUGGGGAACUUGAGUGCAGGU
rnacentral:rRNA from 2 species